rnacentral:rRNA from 1 species
UACAGAGGGGGCAAGCGUUGUUCGGAAUUACUGGGCGUAAAGGGCGCGUAGGCGGCCUGCUAAGUCGAACGUGAGAUCCCCGGGCUCAACCCGGGAACUGCGUCCGAUACUGGCAGGCUUGAAUCCGGGAGAGGGAUGUGGAAUUCCAGGUGUAGCGGUGAAAUGCGUAGAUAUCUGGAGGAACACCGGUGGCGAAGGCGGCAUCCUGGACCGGUAUUGACGCUGAUGCGCGAAAGCCAGGGGAGCAAACGGG